rnacentral:rRNA from 1 species
CUACGGGCGGCAGCAGUGGGGAAUAUUGGACAAUGGGGGAAACCCUGAUCCAGCAAUGCCGCGUGUGUGAAGAAGGCCUGCGGGUUGUAAAGCACUUUCGGUUGUGAGGACUGCUUCUAGCACUAAUAUUGUUGGAAGUUGACGUUACCUUCAGAAGAAGCACCGGCUAACUCCGUGCCAGCAGCCGCGGGUAAUACGGAGGGUGCAAGCGUUAAUCGGAAUUACUGGGCGUAAAGCGCGCGUAGGCGGCUAGAUCAGUCGGGUGUGAAAGCCCCGGGCUUAACCUGGGAACUGCAUCCGAUACUGUCUAGCUUGAGUACAGGAGAGGAGAGUGGAAUUCCACAUGUAGCGGUGAAAUGCGUAGAUAUGUGGAGGAACACCAAUGGCGAAGGCAGCUCUCUGGCCUGAUACUGACGCUGAGGUGCGAAAGCGUGGGGAGCAAACAGGAUUAGAUACCCUUGUAGUC